rnacentral:rRNA from 1 species
GUGUCAGCAGCCGCGGUAAUACCAGCUCUCCGAGUGGUGUGGAUGUUUAUUGGGCCUAAAGCAUCCGUAGCUGGCUAAGUUAGUCCCUUGUUAAAUCCACCGAAUUAAUCGUUGGAUUGCGGGGGAUACUGCUUGGCUAGGGGACGAGAGAGGCAGACGGUAUUUCCGGGGUAGGGGUGAAAUCCUAUAAUCCCGGGAAGACCACCAGUGGCGAAGGCUGUCUGCUAGAACGCGCCCGACGGUGAGGGAUGAAAGCUGGGGGAGCGAACCGGAUUAGAUACCCCCGUAGUCC